GAGACACCCUUAUGGAGGAGGACUUGCUUCAUGGGACUUUGGUGUUCACUGAGUCUGCCCCUUGAGUGUGUCUCU
rfam:Myotis lucifugus cont2.2428, whole genome shotgun sequence.